CUACAUCUGAAGUUGGUUCUAUAGUUUCCUAUCUCCAGAAGAGGCAGGAAUGAACUCCACCAUGCCUAAAGUUUGGGCUUGGCUGCAACCCUCCAGGGCAUCUUAUCACUGUUUUAUUGGAGUUGGAACGCGGCUGGAAUUGGAGUACAAAUUUCCUUCAGCAAGGAAAUGCUGGAGAAACAAGAGCAAGUUAACCUCCAAAUGGGUUCCAAGGCAACCGCUGUGUUGAAAUUUCACUUGGGUUCCCCUGGCUCAUUUUUACCUGCCUCUGCCAAAUUGUUGAUGCCCUCGCCUGUUGGAAAUGGAUGACUUUGAACAACGAGGGGCAAGGAGCCUCUCUUUUACUUCGGAACUACUACAGCAAGAAUUCAAACUCUUUGUUUUUGAGAAAAUAGCUCCUAAUGCUGUGUUGAUUUUACUGUGUGCUUCAGAAAAAGACCCUUAAGGCUAAUUGAUAUGAACAUAUAGAGGCAGGCUGAGCUUACUAGAAUUUAUAU
rnacentral:lncRNA from 1 species